rnacentral:rRNA from 1 species
UGUAUUUAUUAGAUUAAAAACCAAUGCCCUUCGGGGCUCUCUGGUGAUUCAUAAUAACUUCUCGAAUCGCACGGCCUUGCGCCGGCGAUGGUUCAUUCAAAUUUCUGCCCUAUCAACUUUCGACGGCUGGGUCUUGGCCAGCCGUGGUGACAACGGGUAACGGAGGGUUAGGGCUCGACCCCGGAGAAGGAGCCUGAGAAACGGCUACCACAUCCAAGGAAGGCAGCAGGCGCGCAAAUUACCCAAUCCCGACACGGGGAGGUAGUGACAAUAAAUACUGAUACAGGGCUCUUUUGGGUCUUGUAAUUGGAAUGAGUACAAUUUAAAUCCCUUAACGAGGAACAAUUGGAGGGCAAGUCUGGUGCCAGCAGCCGCGGUAAUACCAGCUCCAAUAGCGUAUAUUAAAGUUGUUGCAGUUAAAAAGCUCGUAGUUGAACCUUGGGCCUGGCUGGCCGGUCCGCCUCACCGCGUGCACUGGUCCGGCCGGGUCUUUCCUCCUGGGGAGCCGCAUGCCCUUCACUGGGUGUGUCGGGGAACCAGG